rnacentral:rRNA from 1 species
GUCUCUCUGGAGUAAAAAAUAUAGAGAGUCGGACCUGCCCGGUGACUAAAGUGUUAAACGGCCGCGGUACCCUAACCGUGCAAAGGUAGCAUAAUCAUUUGCCUUUUAAUUGGAGGCUGGUAUGAAUGGUUUGACGAGAGCUAAGCUGUCUCUUUAAAAAUAUUUAAAAAUUAACUUUUAGGUGAAGAGGCCUAAAUUAAUUUAAGGGACAAGAAGACCCUGUUGAGCUUUAAUAAAACUAUAAAUAAGUGUUAGUAUGAUAACAUACUUAUAUAUUUAUAUAAUUUAGAUUUGUGAUUAAUUUUUAGUUGGGGCGACUGAGGGACAUAAGAAGCUCCCUUUAACAAUAAUAAAAUAAAAGUAUUGAAAUUAACUUAUUAUAGUGCUGGCAUGUUAUUUUGAUCCAAAUUGUUUUGAUUAAAGGAAAAAGUUACCACAGGGAUAACAGCGUAAUCUUUCUGGAGAGAUCUUAUCGAAAGAAGGGUUUGCGACCUCGAUGUUGGACUAAGAUAUCCUAAAGGUGUAGACGCUUUUGAGGGUUGGUCUGUUCGACCAUUAAAAUCUU